rnacentral:rRNA from 1 species
GACGAACGCUGGCGGCGUGCUUAACACAUGCAAGUCGAACGGAAAGGCCCUGCUUGCAGGGUGCUCGAGUGGCGAACGGGUGAGUAACACGUGGGUGAUCUGCCCUGCACUUCGGGGUAAGCCUGGGAAACUGGGUCUAUUACCGGAUAGGAGACAUUUUUAGUGUGAUGGUUGGAUAGUUUUUUUGGUGUAGGAUGAGAUCGCGGCCUAUCAGCUUGUUGGUGGGGUAAUGGCCUACCAAGGCGGCGACGGGUAGCCGGCCUGAGAGGGUGGACGGCCACAUUGGGACUGAGAUACGGCCCAGACUCCUACGGGAGGCAACAGUGGGGAAUAUUGCACAAUGGGCGCAAGCCGGAUGCAGCGACGCCGCGUGGGGGAUGACGGGCUUCGGGUUGUAAACUCCUUUCGCUAGGGACGGAGCUGUUUGUGACGGUACCGAGAUAAGAAGCACCGGCUAACUACGUG